UACGUAGGGUGCGAGCGUUAAUCGGAAUUACUGGGCGUAAAGCGUGCGCAGGCGGUUCGUUGUGUCGGCGGUGAAAGCCCCGGGCUUAACCUGGGAAUGGCCGUUGAAACUGGCGAACUGGAGUGUGGCAGAGGGGGGUGGAAUUCCGCGUGUAGCAGUGAAAUGCGUAGAGAUCCGGAAGAACACCAGUGGCGAAGGCGGCCCGCUGGGCAGUGGCUGACGCUGAAGCGCGACAGCGUGGGGAGCAAACAGG
rnacentral:rRNA from 1 species